AGAGUUUGAUCCUGGCUCAGGACGAACGCUGGCGGCGUGCCUAAUACAUGCAAGUAGAACGCUGAAGAGAGGAGCUUGCUCUUCUUGGAUGAGUUGCGAACGGGUGAGUAACGCGUAGGUAACCUGCCUUGUAGCGGGGGAUAACUAUUGGAAACGAUAGCUAAUACCGCAUAACAAUGGAUGACACAUGUCAUUUAUUUGAAAGGGGCAAUUGCUCCACUACAAGAUGGACCUGCGUUGUAUUAGCUAGUAGGUGAGGUAACGGCUCACCUAGGCGACGAUACAUAGCCGACCUGAGAGGGUGAUCGGCCACACUGGGACUGAGACACGGCCCAGACUCCUACGGGAGGCAGCAGUAGGGAAUCUUCGGCAAUGGGGGCAACCCUGACCGAGCAACGCCGCGUGAGUGAAGAAGGUUUUCGGAUCGUAAAGCUCUGUUGUAAGUCAAGAACGAGUGUGAGAGUGGAAAGUUCACACUGUGACGGUAGCUUACCAGAAAGGGACGGCUAACUACGUGCCAGCAGCCGCGGUAAUACGUAGGUCCCGAGCGUUGUCCGGAUUUAUUGGGCGUAAAGCGAGCGCAGGCGGUUUGAUAAGUCUGAAGUUAAAGGCUGUGGCUCAACCAUAGUUCGCUUUGGAAACUGUCAAACUUGAGUGCAGAAGGGGAGAGUGGAAUUCCAUGUGUAGCGGUGAAAUGCGUAGAUAUAUGGAGGAACACCGGUGGCGAAAGCGGCUCUCUGGUCUGUAACUGACGCUGAGGCUCGAAAGCGUGGGGAGCGAACAGGAUUAGAUACCCUGGUAGUCCACGCCGUAAACGAUGAGUGCUAGGUAUUGGAUCCUUUCCGGGAUUCAGUGCCGCAGCUAACGCAUUAAGCACUCCGCCUGGGGAGUACGACC
rnacentral:rRNA from 1 species